CUGUCUGCUCAGUCUCCAAGGCUAGGGCAGAAAACGUGCCCAAGUCUCUGGGUUAUUGGGAUAUCCGUGAGCUGCUGUUAUGAAUGAAGCCAGCAGCUGAGUGAAAACUUCAAGCUGGGCCUGGAUUUUCCCAAUCUGUCCUACUUAAUUGAUGGGUCACACAAGAUCACCCAGAGCAAUGACAUCCUGUAUCCCACUGCCUAUAAGGAUGACCUGUGUGCAGAUAGAGAAGGAGAGGAUGUGUGUGUAGAUUUUGGAGAACCAGGCAAUGAACACUGGCAUGCAGAUGAGCAUGAUCUACAGUCCUGAUUUAGAGAAGUGAAAACCAGAGUUCUUAUAGGGCCUCCCAGAUCAGCUGAAGGUCUGCUCUGAGUUCCUUAGGUAGCAGCCAUGGUUUGCAGGGGACAAGAUCACCUUUGCAGACUUCCUCGUCUAUGAUGUCCUUGAUCAGCAUCGAAUGUUUGAGGCCACGUGCCUGGACGCCUUCCCAAACCCGAUGGACUUCGUGGCCCGCUUUGAGGUGAUGCCCUGGUCCUGCUUCCUCUUGGAUGCCCCUGGGUCACGCCAUCCGCCUGCUCCUGGAAUACACAGAAACAGGCUAUGAAGAGAAGAGAUACGCCAUGGGGGACG
rnacentral:lncRNA from 1 species